AACAACUAACUAACCAGUUAUAAUAUUUUUCACUCUUAUAAGGAUUAUUUUACGUUUUUAGCUUAGUAUAUGAACUUAGGGCUAUCCCAAAUCUCAUAAGUUGGUGAACCUCAUGAGAAAGUACUGAAAAUUGCAGUCGAGAACAAUAAAUAAUGGCGAGGGUAUCCAACUGACGAAUCAGUGCAUCCUAAUCUUGUUUGUUUGUUCUCAAGCACAAAGCUACACAAUGGGCUACCUGUUUUUUACCCACCAAGACUAACGAAACCGGGUUUUUAGCGCUAUAAACCUUCAGAGUUAUCGCUGAGCCACGGGAGGGAGCAUCCUAAUCUUUCUACAUUUGUUAUAAAAUUGUGCACUCCUAGUUAGACCGAAGUUCUCCCGGGAGGUCAGCUGUAACUUUCCGGAUGUAGAAGUUCUCCUGGGUAGUCAGCUGUAAUUUUCUGGAUGUAAAAGUUCUCCCGGGAGGUCAGCUGUAACUUUCCGGAUGAAGAAGUUCUCCCGGGAGGUCAGCUGUAACUUUCCGGAUGUAAAAGUUCUCCCGAGAGGUCAGCUGUAACUUUCCUGAUGUAGAAGUUCUGCAGGAAGAUCAGCUAUAACUUUCCGGAUGUAGAGGUUCUCCCGGGAGGUCAGCUGUAACUUUCAGGACUUGAAUGUUUAUUUUCCGCUGUUCAUUUAUUCACGGUGAACAGAGAGCAGGUUGCACAUUAUGCAGCUCUGCGCUAAAAACUAACAACAAUAUAAUGUAGGUCAAGCUGGUUGACCAAUAUGUAAUUCAUUUAUGCCUUUUUCGGCUUUCAAUAAAAGAGAAUUGACUCUUGA